UACGUAGGGUGCAAGCGUUAAUCGGAAUUACUGGGCGUAAAGCGUGCGCAGGCGGCUUUGCAAGACAGAUGUGAAAUCCCCGGGCUCAACCUGGGAACUGCAUUUGUGACUGCAUGGCUAGAGUGCGGCAGAGGGGGAUGGAAUUCCGCGUGUAGCAGUGAAAUGCGUAGAGAUGUGGAGGAACACCGAUGGCGAAGGCAGCCCCCUGGGUCAAGAUUGACGCUCAUGCACGAAAGCGUGGGGAGCAAACAGG
rnacentral:rRNA from 1 species